GUCCACGCCGUAACGAUGGAUGCUAGCCGUCGGGAGCUUGCUCUUCGGUGGCGCAGCUAACGCAUUAAGCAUCCCGCCUGGGAGUACGGUCGCAAGAUUAAACUCAAAGGAAUUGACGGGGCCCGCACAAGCGGUGGAGCAUGUGGUUUAAUUCGAAGCAACGCGCAGAACCUUACCAGCUCUUGACAUGUCCCGUAUGAGUUCCGGAGACGGAUCUCUUCAGUUCGGCUGGCGGGAACACAGGUGCUGCAUGGCUGUCGU
rnacentral:rRNA from 1 species